UGCUUGGUCUGCGGUUUCUGUCUUAGCUGUUAGCUAAAUUUUAACACUUUCCUGAGUUAAAUUGAACUUUUAACAGGCUGGCUCUUUGACUGAAGUUGUAAAGAUUCGCACCUUUAAAUCUAGAAGCCUCCAGUUCAGUCCCUGUGGUUGGGCAAGAUGGAGGCUGUUACAGAUGGUCUGCCACCCCCACAUGAUUAGGUCUGCUUUCUCCCAACACAAGCCUCCUUUGCAACAGGAUCUUCCUCAUUACUUGUAUAUAUUUGCAUGGAGGUGCCUUGCUGUGCUGAGAGCAUUCAUCUGGCCAGGUAGGUUACCCCUAAAAAAAAAAAAAAAAGGAAAAGGAGAAGGCAUUUUGAUAGAGGGUCCAUUUGACUUCACAUUGAAGAUCAGGUUUGUAGGUGUUUUCUAUAGGUGACCCAAGUCUCACAGCCAUAGAGGAGGGUUGGGGUUACCAUCGCUUUAUAAACUAAAAAUCU